rnacentral:rRNA from 1 species
AUUGAACGCUGGCGGCAUGCCUAACACAUGCAAGUCGAACGGCAGCACAGUUUGUAGCAAUACAAAUGGGUGGCGAGUGGCGGACGGGUGAGUAAUACGUAGGGAUCUGCCUUUUAGAGGGGGAUAACCCGGGGAAACUCGGGCUAAUACCACAUGAUCUCGAGAGAGCAAAGGGAGGGGAUCCGUAAGGACCUUUCGCUGAAAGAUGAACCUACGUCGGAUUAGCUAGUUGGUAGGGUAACGGCCUACCAAGGCAACGAUCCGUAGCUGGUCUAAGAGGACGGACAGUCACACUGGGACUGAGACACGGCCCAGACUCCUAUGGGAGGCAGCAGUGGGGAAUAUUGGACAAUGGGGGCAACCCUGAUCCAGCAAUGCCGCGUGUGUGAAGAAGGCCUGCGGGUUGUAAAGCACUUUAGGUGGGGAGGAAAGGUGAGUCACUAAUAUCGGCUCAUUUUGACGUUACCCACAGAAUAAGCACCGGCUAACUCUGUGCCAGCAGCCG